rnacentral:rRNA from 1 species
CUAAGAAUAUUCCGCAAUGGACGGAAGUCUGACGGAGCGACGCCGCGUGGAUGACGAAGGCCGAAAGGUUGUAAAGUUCUUUUGCUGGGGAAGAAUAACCGCAGGAGGGAAUGCCUGUGGGAUGACAAGAACCGGCGAAUAAGCCCCGGCCAACUACGUGCCAGCAGCCGCGGUAACACGUAGGGGGGCGAGCGUUGUUCGGAAUUACUGGGCGUAAAGGGCAUGUAGGCGGCUUGGAAAGCCUGGCGUGAAAGUCUGCAGCUUAACUGCAGGGGUGCGCUGGGAACUGCUGAGCUUGAGUGACGGAGAGGGAGCUGGAAUUCCUGGUGUAGGGGUGAAAUCUGUAGAUAUCAGGAAGAACACCGAUGGCGAAGGCAAGCUCCUGGCCGAUGACUGACGCUGAGGUGCGAAAGUGUGGGGAUCAAACAGGAUUAGAUACCCUGGUAGUCCACACAGUCAACGAUGUGCACUAGGUGCUGGGGCGGUAGCUUCGGUGCCGGAGCGAACGUGGUAAGUGCACCGCCUGGGGAGUAUGCUCGCAAGGGUGAAACUCAAUGAAUUGACGGGGGUCAUA